rnacentral:rRNA from 1 species
AUUGAACGCUGGCGGCAGGCCUAACACAUGCAAGUCGAGCGGAUGAAGAGAGCUUGCUCUCUGAUUCAGCGGCGGACGGGUGAGUAAUGCCUAGGAAUCUGCCUGGUAGUGGGGGACAACGUUUCGAAAGGAACGCUAAUACCGCAUACGUCCUACGGGAGAAAGCAGGGGACCUUCGGGCCUUGCGCUAUCAGAUGAGCCUAGGUCGGAUUAGCUAGUAGGUGGGGUAAAGGCUCACCUAGGCGACGAUCCGUAACUGGUCUGAGAGGAUGAUCAGUCACACUGGAACUGAGACACGGUCCAGACUCCUACGGGAGGCAGCAGUGGGGAAUAUUGGACAAUGGGCGAAAGCCUGAUCCAGCCAUGCCGCGUGUGUGAAGAAGGUCUUCGGAUUGUAAAGCACUUUAAGUUGGGAGGAAGGGCAGUAAGUUAAUACCUUGCUGUUUUGACGUUACCAACAGAAUAAGCACCGGCUAACUUCGUGCCAGCAGCCGCAGUAAAAC